UGGCUGAAGGAUCCCUACUGUGGGAAUUGC
rnacentral:piRNA from 1 species